GAUGAACGCUGGCGGCGUGCCUAAUACAUGCAAGUCGAGCGAACAGACGUGGUACUUGCUCCUCUUACGUUAGCGGCGGACGGGUGAGUAACACGUGGAUAACCUACCUAUAAGACUGGGAUAACUUCUGGAAACCGGAGCUAAUACCGGAUAAUAUCUUUAACCGCAUGGUUCAAUAUUGAAAGACGGUUUUGCUUUCCCUUAUAGAUGGAUCCGCGCCGCAUUAGCUAGUUGGUAAGGUAACGGAUUACCAAGGCAACGAUGCGUAGCCAACCUGAGAGGGGGAUCGGCCACACGGGAACUGAGACACGGUCCAGACUCCUACGGGAGGCAGCAGUAGGGAAUCUUCCGAAAGGGGCGAAAGCCUGACGGAGAAACGCCGCGUGAGUGAGGAAGGUCUUCGGAUCGUAAAACUCUGUUAUAAGGGAAGAACAAAUGUGUAAGUAAAUAUGCACGUAGUGACGGUACCUAAUCAGAAAGCCACGGCUAACUACGUG
rnacentral:rRNA from 1 species